rnacentral:rRNA from 1 species
ACAGGAGAGCUUGCUCUCUGGGUGGCGAGUGGCGGACGGGUGAGGAAUACAUCGGAAUCUACCUUUUCGUGGGGGAUAACGUAGGGAAACUUACGCUAAUACCGCAUACGACCUACGGGUGAAAGUGGGGGACCGCAAGGCCUCACGCGAUUAGAUGAGCCGAUGUCCGAUUAGCUAGUUGGCGGGGUAAUGGCCCACCAAGGCGACGAUCGGUAGCUGGUCUGAGAGGAUGAUCAGCCACACUGGAACUGAGACACGGUCCAGACUCCUACGGGAGGCAGCAGUGGGGAAUAUUGGACAAUGGGCGCAAGCCUGAUCCAGCCAUACCGCGUGGGUGAAGAAGGCCUUCGGGUUGUAAAGCCCUUUUGUUGGGAAAGAAAUCCUGUCGAUUAAUACUCGGUGGGGAUGACGGUACCCAAAGAAUAAGCACCGGCUAACUUCGUGCCAGCAGCCGCGGUAAUACGAAGGGUGCAAGCGUUACUCGGAAUUACUGGGCGUAAAGCGUGCGUAGGUGGUGGUUUAAGUCUGCUGUGAAAGCCCUGGGCUCAACCUGGGAAUUGCAGUGGAUACUGGAUCACUAGAGUGUGGUAGAGGGAUGCGGAAUUUCUGGUGUAGCAGUGAAAUGCGUAGAGAUCAGAAGGAACAUCCGUGGCGAAGGCGGCAUCCUGGGCCAACACUGACACUGAGGCACGAAAGCGUGGGGGAGCAAACAGGAUUAGAUACCCUGGUAGUCCACGCCCUAAACGAUGCGAACUGGGAUGUUGGGUGCAACUUGGCACCCAGUAUCGAAGCUAACGCGUUAAGUUCGCCGCCUGGGGGAGUACGGUCGCAAGACUGAAACUCAAGGAAUUUGACGGGGGCCCGCACAAGCGGUGGAGGUAUGUGGUUUAAUUCGAUGCAACGCGAAGAACCUUACCUGGUCUUGACAUCCACGGAACUUUCCAGAGAUGGAUUGGUGCCUUCGG